UCCUAUUUUAACUAUCUUUAUCUUUAUCUAUUUAUACGAACUAUUAAAUGAUUCUGUGUUAAAUAAUCCUAUAUUAUUCUGUUAGUUAUUUUUAUAAAGUUGUACAUACACAAUAUUUAUAACCAAUACAUUGAUGAAAAUAGUUACGUGCAUCAUAGCUAUCAUAUGCAAGCUCGGAGACCUGUCCGCAAUGUCAUAGUGUAACGACAAGUGAUAAAAUUCACAAAGCUCAUUUCUCAUGGACUGAUGACUUGACUGUGGAUAAUUCAGAGAAUAUAUCCUUGCAAGAGAGAAUUGAUGACUUGAAAUUUCAAGUUUUAGAGAAAGAAAGGGAUGUCCAGCAUUACAUCGCCAAAAAUAAAUCUCUUGAGAUACAGAAUGCUGGUCUUAGACAGAAAGUACGAGAAGUAGAAAGUGAGAUCAGUCUUAAAAAUUCGACCAUCUGUGACUUAAAGAAUAAAGAUAUAAUAAAGAUUAAGUCACAACGUAACCUAUCACGUGAUAGGUUAAAAAAAAUGACUAUAACAAACGUACGGAGAGCACUUCAUAGAAAAAAUUGUGGCAAGAGAAUCAAAUUAAGCAGCUUGAACAAAUGCUUGCAACGCAUCGUAACUAUUUAUUGCAAAAAAAAA